UACAGAGGGUGCGAGCGUUAAUCGGAAUUACUGGGCGUAAAGCGUGCGUAGACGGCUAUCUAAGUCGGGUGUGAAAGCCCCGGGCUCAACCUGGGAAUUGCAUUCGAGACUGAAUAGCUAGGGUACGGUAGAGGGAAGUGGAAUUUCCGGUGUAGCGGUGAAAUGCGUAGAGAUGCGGAGGAACACCGAUGGCGAAGGCAGCCCCCUGGGUCGACACUGACGCUCAGGCACGAAAGCGUGGGGAGCAAACAGG
rnacentral:rRNA from 1 species